UACGGGGGGGGCAAGCGUUGUUCGGAAUUACUGGGCGUAAAGGGUUUGUAGGUGGCUUGCUAAGUCAGACGUGAAAUCCCUCAGCUUAACCGGGGAACUGCGUCUGAUACUGGAUGGCUUGAGUUUGGGAGAGGGAUGCGGAAUUCCAGGUGUAGCGGUGAAAUGCGUAGAUAUCUGGAGGAACACCGGUGGCGAAGGCGGCAUCCUGGACCAACAUUGACACUGAGGAGCGAAAGCCAGGGGAGCAAACGGG
rnacentral:rRNA from 1 species